GAGUCGUUUGAGGCGCGAGCUUCCAGCGCCUAGUUAACAGGCUGAGUCCGGGGCGGGUCGGAGAGCGGCCACGUGCGGUGGCGUGCAGGGUCGCAAGCAUGCCUUCCCGCCCACCUGCCCACGCUGGGCUUGGGUGUCAGUGCUUGUCUCCAUAUAGAUAGUCACUUCUUGAAAGCCGCAGCCGCCAUCAAGAUAAUCUAAAUACGACCACAGCCUAACUACAUACACAAGGGGCCCCCGAGUCAAAGCUUCUCUGGUAGAAGAGAGAUCAGUUUCAGAGAGCGGUGAAUGCCUAGGGAAGACAUGGAAACGAGAGAAUAAAUACUUCCAAGAAGUUUCACUUUGAAGAGGAAGAGAAAGCAGGGUCUGCAACUACGGAGGAAUAAGGGAGCCAAGCUUGGCUUCAUUUUUCCCUGUUAUAAAUGGACUUUAUUUAUAUGGCAUAGAACAUGGUUUCUUGGAAGAUCUAUCAGAAUAAUCCCAAGGAAAGACCCAGACUAGUCUGGCUUGGUAGCAUGAUCAUUCCUGGGUCCAUUUUUAUGGCCCAUUGUGGUCACCCACUUUUCCCUGUGGUUAGGGAUAAAAGGGAGGUUCAUAUUGAAGAGCAAUGCAGUGACAGCUGAGAUACUAAAACAGGCUUCUUUUUCUGGAGAAGUGAAAUGAAUACACAAUUUUACAGUUGACAU